rnacentral:misc_RNA from 1 species
ACUAAACACAUUGUGUUAUUAUUAACUUGUGCAUUGUUUUGUUUUAACUAUUUGUUAAUUUAAAUAUUUAA